UCCCUUUCCCUCCCUCGCAAAUAAACCUUCCUUCACUCGUCCAAACAGAGCUUAAACAGCGACCGGCUCUGCUGGUUGGCCGGUCUGAGGAUGAUCCGGUGGAUCGCAGGAACGCAGGAUCCCGGAGGAGGGGAAGCGGAGAAUCCGUCGAACUAUCAGGAGGCAGCGUCGACGGAUGGUGCGGGGUAGGGUCACGUAGCGACGCGCCGUAGUAAAAGGACAGGGAACUCGGCCUCCGCCUUGUCAAAGCUGGUGUGAUUGUUUUGGCCCAAUUUUUCUUUCUCCACUCGAUUCCUUCAUCUUCUUGAUCGGAAAGCUGUAGGUUUUGUCGGCAGAUGGUAAUUGAAGGGCCUCUCAUUGGGAUUGUCGAGUGUUUCUGUGUUUUUUUAAGAGAAAAGAUUUCUGGUCGAGGAUUUGAGCUCUCAGAGUAAAAACUUCCGCGCGUUCCGUCUAUUCGCGUUCCUUGCCUCGGAUCUGUUGACUGUUGUUCGGCUGGGAAUUAUUGCAAAGGCGACACCUUGCUUGCUCGUGCAGCGCUAUCAGUGAAUCCGGAGGCGGCAAAAAUGAAGAACUUUUGCGACGCCAGCGGGCGUUAAAGGACAAAGCUGCACUCGUCUCAACUCUCAAGGGAAGCAGCGAAAAGAAGAAGAGGUGUUUCUAUCAGCAUUUCUAGGUUUCCUUUUCAGUUUUUGCUAGGAAAAAACCCGUCGAAAUUGGCGACAAGGAGGAAGUCCAAACGGUAGCAGUUCAGAUGCUAUUUUAGGAAGCUGCCGCAUUCUUAUGGAGUAAUCUGGGUCCGAUUUGAUGUUUGUUAGGAAUUUCUGUGUGACUAUAGUUUCUUGAGCUGCUCCGCCGUUAAUGCGACGGUAAUCAAUAGAAAUUUUAGGUUGGUUUCAUGGCUUUGGCUCCUCCAAAUAGUUCAUCUGCAGUUUUUGGCUCAGGGACUUAUAGAGAUGUCUUAUACCCAGAACUAUGGAAAGCAUGUGCUGGACCUUUAGUUACUCUCCCAUGUGAAGGAGAAAGGGUUUAUUACUUUCCUCAAGGUCACAUGGAGCAGCUAUAAGCAUCAACAAAUCAAGGACAUGACCGGCAAAUGCCCUUGUUUGAUCUGCCAUCAAAAAAAAAAAAAAUGAUGAACCCAGCUAGUCCUGGGGUUGACCGGCCCACUCCCAUAGAAUUUUCCCACCGGCCUUGAUCUGCCAUCAAAGAUCCCAUGCAAGGUAGUUCACGUUCAACUUAGGCUGAAGCAGAUACAGAUGAAGUUUUUGCUCAGAUCAUGCUGCUGCCUGAAACUCAUUAUUUACAGAAUACAACCAUGUGCUUGUCAUGAUUUUGACUCGAGGAGUUAUAUGAAAAGUUGCUGACUUAUUAGCUGUCCGCCAUAUUUUCUGUUAGCUCUUCUGACAACCGGUUGGAGUGUUUUUGUGAGCUCAAAGAGAUAGGGAGCCAUUGAUGCAUUUAUCCUUUUAAGAGGUGAAAAUGAUGAGCUUCUAGUCACAGUGAUUAGGCUUAUGCGACCUAUUAAUAGCAUGCCAUCAUCAGUCAUUUCCAGUCAUAGUAUGCAUGUUGGAGUUCUUGCUACUGCAUUUCAUGCUAUUACGACUGGGACUCUGUUUUCUGUUUUUAACAAGCCAAGAGAGGAAUAACCAGUGAUGUCUUUGGAUGCGGAAUUAGAUCGACAAUCUCAACCAUCUAACUUUAAUUGGUCUGACACACCUGUGUCUUGCUUGAGGUCAACUCAAGAAUCGCAAAAUCAGCAAUUGAGGAGCUGUACCAAGGUUCACAUGCAAGGAAUGACAGUUGGAUUUGGGAGGGCAGUGAGCUUGACUAUAUUAUAUGGAUAUAACGAUCUUUUUCUGAAGCUAGAAGAGAUGUUCAACAUUAAGGGAGAGCUCUUCGGCAAAGUAAAAAAGUGGGAGGUCGUCUACACUGAUGAAGAGGAGGAUACGAUGAUGGUCAGUGAUGAUCCGUGUCAGUAAGGCUCUUAAAUAAUGAGAACGUUAAGCAGUGAGCUCAGCAGCAUGGUCAGAAAAAUACAUAUUUACACAUGAGAAGAGGCCAAAAGGCUGGUCCCGAAGGUGAAGCUUCCUGCUUUCGGCGAGGAGAUCAAGCCUACAUCCAAAAUAUCCUUCCCCAAUGCCGACACCAAGCAUACCAAACUGGAAGAUCAAAUUUCUACUCUUAACAAGAUCACUGACCAUCUACUAGCUACAAAGCCAGUUCAUGAGUUGUUCUUCAGAGUAAGGUUAGCUGCUGGAUCGGCAUAUCGAGUACAAAAGGUGGUUCUAUUUGUUCUCUGGCCACUAACUGAUAGCCCUGCUGUGUUGCUAACAUAACCAGCCAGAAAGGAUGGCAGAUGGAGCUUUAGUCUAAACUCCCAUGCGUUGUCUAUGUAGGGUAUUUUCUUCUUAGUUAAUUAGGCUGGUCCUUGCAGGUGAGCUAAAGCUAAGCGAGUCGCGGAAAUGUUAAGGCUAACUUUGUGUCUUUGUGGACAAUGUUAAGGCAUUGGAUAAGGGGCGAUCUAUCUACCUUCCUAGCUACCAAAUAGAUGUACAUAAUUAGGCAUCAGGUAGCUACUAUGUUUGUUAAACUAGUGCUUUCCUAGCUACCAAAUAGAUGUGCACAAUUAAGCUUUGUUUAUAAAACAAGAGACAUUUCUUUCAA